rnacentral:misc_RNA from 1 species
GAGCAAACUCCCCCCUUCAAGCUACUGCUGAUAUGUAAGAGCUCCGUUGACUUUAUGCGUAGCACCAUUGACCAAGUCCCUCCUCUGUCCAAAAGGGUUCUUCGAAAAUUGUAUUCGGAUGCCACCACGACCAGAACUAGGAAGGACUGCACCCUGCAAAUUCCGAUGAACAGUCACAGCACUAUUUACAUCAUUAAACUCAAUGAAGCAGACUGUAUUUCUUUC